GGAAAGGUGAAUGGGAGAAUGGUCAGUCAGAGGCUGGCCAGGCCUCUGGCGGGGCCCAACUGCAUAGUAUGAUCUCACUAGCUCACACCAUACAUGGAAGUCAUCGAAGAAUAUGCUGCCAAAGGCCAGCCACGAGUCUCCACUGCAGUCCAGCUUCUGCCGCCGCUGGCUGCUGCCUUUGCUGUGAAAGGGGCCUAGUUCCUGACCGACUUCCCGG